rnacentral:rRNA from 1 species
GAUGAACGCUGGCGGCGUGCCUCAAACAUGCAAGUCGAGCGGGGCUAUGUAAUAUCGCAAGGUAGAACAUAGCCUAGCGGCGAACGGGUGAGUAACACGUGGGUAACCUGCCUGGAAGACAGGGAUAACGAUUCGAAAGGGUCGCUAAUACCUGAUAAUAUCCUUUCAUCGCAUGGUGAUAGGAAGAAAGGGGGAAACCCGCUUUCAGAUGGGCCCCGCGUCCCAUCAGCUAGUUGGUAAGGUAAAGGCUUACCAAGGCGACGACGGGUAGCCGGUCUGAGAGGAUGUACGGCCACACUGGGACUGAGAUACGGCCCAGACUCCUACGGGAGGCAGCAGUAGGGAAUCUUCCGCAAUGGGCGCAAGCCUGACGGAGCGACGCCGCGUGAGUGAUGAAGGCCUUCGGGUCGUAAAGCUCUGUUCUUGUAGGACGAAUAAGCCAGGGAGUGGAAAGCCCUGGUCGAUGACUGUACUCAAGGAGAAAGCUCCGGCUAACUACGUGCC